rnacentral:lncRNA from 1 species
UGAUAGCUUGCAUGUGUAUUCAAAUGUUCAUACUUGUUCUUAGCUAGGACAAAAUUUUUCCUUCACAAUAUGAGUUGAUAAAUUCCAGUUAUGAAUUCUUGAAUCCUGAAUGCAAUUAGCUUAACUAUUUGAUUGAUAACUUAUUUAUGUUAGUUGAUUAAGGGUCGACACUUAAUUAGCAUGCAUAAAUCUGAUGCUAAAGUAUAAGGGAGUUUCACAUAAUCGUUACAAACUUAUAUUCAUAUGUAGUGAAGGUCGCUGGUCAUGAUCAUGUUAAGUUUCAUUCCUAGCAUGAGUGACAUGAUGUCACGGUUAAUUUGGGGCAUUGUCGUUCAUAAUUCAAUGAAGGAGUAACUGGGAAUUGAUUCAUUUGCAUAUAUGUCAUGUGUGGAGAAAGAACCUCAAGCUAGCUUAUCAUCCAUCUAUUUCAACCAAAUUCAUCCAAAAUCUGUCUUAAGUUUUAGUUACCUGUUUUUAUUUUAAAUUCAUCCAAAACAAACCCCCUCUUUACUUUCUUGUUUAAAAGUGUUUAAAAUAUAUUUUGUUUGUGUUUUUGAGUGUUUUGAGUCAAGCCAAAACCCUAAUUUCGUCCAAAGUUGUGUUUAGACUCAGAAACUGCCUAGUUGGUGUUUUUAGGCAGUUUUGAGUGUUUUUAAGUUGUUUUGAGUCUUGUGAACCUGUUUUGAGUCCUUUGAGUUUAUUCAAACAUUUUUAACUUUGUUUUUAUGUUUUUAAGUCAGUUUAGAGGUUUUAGCAAGCCCUCAUAAUCCCCGGUUUAGAACAAUCCCUACUUGCAUUUAUACUACAAUUUGACAACAAGAGGGUUUAAUUUGAAUGCUUAUAUAUUUUCACAUCAAGGUCUAGAGACGAGACAGGCCUAAGGGCCUACAGGGUGGCACAGGUAGGUCUAGCGAAAGUUGACUUGCGAGUUUGGGGUACGGGAGAAAAGGCCCAGCCUUGUAGGUUGCUGCAUGCCAUGGGAA